rfam:Mycobacterium sp. 1245111.1 contig_10, whole genome shotgun sequence.
GCGUGCCCGUGCAACGUGGCCCCUGUCCGAACCGACCCUGACGUACUUCCCCAACGCCAGGUUCGUGCCAUCGGACAGGGACCUCGAUGCACCGGCCAGCCCUG